CAGCAGGCGCGAAAACUUUACAAUGCCGGCAACGGCGAUAAGGGAACCUCGAGUGCCAGGUUACAAAUCUGGCUGUCGUGAUGCCUAAAAAGCAUUGCAUAGCAAGGGCCGGGCAAGACCGGUGCCAGCCGCCGCGGUAACACCGGCGGCUCGAGUGGUAACCGUUAUUAUUGGGUCUAAAGGGUCUGUAGCCGGCCGGGUAAGUCUCUUGGGAAAUCUGGCAGCUUAACUGUCAGGCUUUCAGGAGAUACUGCCUGGCUCGAGGCCGGGAGAGGUGAGAGGUACUCCAGGGGUAGGGGUGAAAUCUUGUAAUCCUUGAAGGACCACCAGUGGCGAAGGCGUCUCACCAGAACGGACCUGACGGCAAGGGACGAAAGCUAGGGGCACGAACCGGAUUAGAUACCCGGGUAGUCCUAGCCGUAAACGAUACUCGCUAGGUGUCGGCCACGGUGCGACCGUGGUCGGUGCCGUAGGGAAGCCGUGAAGCGAGCCACCUGGGAAGUACGGCCGCAAGGCUGAAACUUAAAGGAAUUGGC
rnacentral:rRNA from 1 species